CCCUUAGAUGUUCUGGGCCGCACGCGCGCUACACUGACGAAGUCAGCGAGCAUGUCCUACGCCGACAGGUGCGGGGAAUCUUGUCAAACUUCGUCGUGAUGGGGAUUGAUUAUUGAAAUUCUUGAUCAUCAACGAGGGAUUCCUAGUAAGCGCAAGUCAGCAGCUUGCGUUGAUUACGUCCCUGCCCUUUGUACACACCGCCCGUCGCUACUACCGAUUGAAUGGUUUAGUGAGAUCUUCGGAUUGGCGCCACUGCGGCUCAGCAAUGGGCUCGGUGGAUGCCGAAAAGUUGAUCAAACUUGAUCAUUUAGAGGAAGUAAAAGUCGUAACA
rnacentral:rRNA from 1 species